GAGAGGUGCUUGCACCUCUUGAGAGCGGCGGACGGGUGAGUAAUGCCUAGGAAUCUGCCUGGUAGUGGGGGAUAACGCUCGGAAACGGACGCUAAUACCGCAUACGUCCUACGGGAGAAAGCAGGGGACCUUCGGGCCUUGCGCUAUCAGAUGAGCCUAGGUCGGAUUAGCUAGUUGGUGAGGUAAUGGCUCACCAAGGCGACGAUCCGUAACUGGUCUGAGAGGAUGAUCAGUCACGCUGGAACUGAGACACGGUCCAGACUCCUACGGGAGGCAGCAGUGGGGAAUAUUGGACAAUGGGCGAAAGCCUGAUCCAGCCAUGCCGCGUGUGUGAAGAAGGUCUUCGGA
rnacentral:rRNA from 1 species